rnacentral:tRNA from 1 species
GCUAUCGCCAAAUGGUAAGGCACAGGACUCUGACUCCUGCAUGUGAAGGUUCGAAUCCUUCUAGC